rnacentral:rRNA from 1 species
AGUGAACGCUGGCGGUAGGCCUAACACAUGCAAGUCGAACGGCAGCACAGUAAGAGCUUGCUCUUACGGGUGGCGAGUGGCGGACGGGUGAGGAAUACAUCGGAAUCUACUUUUUCGUGGGGGAUAACGUAGGGAAACUUACGCUAACACCGCAUACGACCUACGGGUGAAGGCAGGGGAUCUUCGGACCUUGCGCGAUUGAAUGAGCCGAUGUCGGAUUAGCUAGUUGGCGGGGUAAAGGCCCACCAAGGCGACGAUCCGUAGCUGGUCUGAGAGGAUGAUCAGCCACACUGGAACUGAGACACGGUCCAGACUCCUACGGGAGGCAGCAGUGGGGAAUAUUGGACAAUGGGCGCAAGCCUGAUCUAGCCAUACCGCGUGGGUGAAGAAGGCCUUCGGGUUGUAAAGCCCUUUUGUUGGGAAAGAAAAGCAGCAGGUUAAUACCCCGCUGUUCUGACGGUACCCAAAGAAUAAGCACCGGCUAACUUCGU